GAGAGGGGGCGCAGCCCCUAGGGGCGGCCAACCCUAGGUCGUCCAUUAUGGGCCGCAAUUGGGCUGGUCGUCUAUUCUUCCGGGCCUUCGUUCUUUAACAACAUGAUGUAGUUCAAUUCUCUUGCACGGGCCCGAGUCACUGGCCCAGGUGGAAGGGGUGGCGCCUGGGCUGGAGAAGGUGCUGCUGGUGUAGAUGUGCUCGUGUUGGUGUUGAUGUCCGCAUCAAAACUGUUUAUAGAUCAAAAGUUAUGAGGACCCAAAAACAGCAAGUUGAUAUUAUUUUCAGCAUACUUCAAAUCUGAUUCAAAACUGAAUUAAGCAUUUUACUCGGUUCGGUUCUAAUUACCUCGGUCUGCUUAAUUGUUAAAUAACGACAAAACCUGUGAACCCCUUUUAAUUACAUAGAUUAUCGAAAUGAAAAUGGCACCAAACUCGAACCUUUGCGAGAUAAUUAAAAUUUAGUGUCCAUUUUAUUCAUCGCUAUCACGUGUUAAGGUCCGCACUCGUGGUCGAGCAGACGAUAAACACAUGGGGUGUUACAACCCUCCCCCCUUAAAAGAAUCUUGUCCCGACAUUCAGAACGAAAGACUUUUAAGAGUAGAGAAUAAUAUAACUCUUGCCCAUAUCAGCGGUAACCAUAAAACAGCUCCAAGCAAAGUCGAGUGUCUCAGAAUAUGGUUUCUCUAGUGGACAUAACAUGCAUUGCCCUAAGCUAAUUUAGAAAUGUCCACCAAUAGAGACGAUGUCUGCCAGAGGAACACAUAAGGUUCCAUGUGCAGUUUGCUUUUUCUGAUGACACUGUACUAUUUGAGUCUGUUGGGCGAGCGGCAGAUAUGCGACUUUACCCAAACGCAACAAGGGGUCACGGUAAGUUCACAGCACACGAGGCGGGUGUGAAUGUCGAAUAACAUCACAGUUGACCCAUGGCCAGCCAGAAAAUCCAAGUCCAAGAAAAAUGAUAGAGACUAGAAAAAUCACUAGCGAAGGGAUCUAUAGAUGCGGGCUUUGCAACCAGUCCAUUUUAUCAAGCACUAGGCAUGGCUCGACUUGAUCACACAUGCUGGAAAAGCACACACGAGGCGAUCAAGGCAUGACUAGAGUUGUGGUUAGGCUGUUAACAGUUAGCUGAGGAUGGCAAAAAUACCUCGGCCAACAAGGUAAAGUUAAGAUGCAUAUGCUCAUAAUCUAAACCAAUAUGGCACAAGAUCUGCGCAUAUGUUCAUAUCCUUCACUUGAUCUUCACCAAGUUUUUCUUCAGGAUAGGCUGAACUAAAGUGAGUUUAGACAACUCGAUAAGACGAUUUCUAAACUCAACCUUUGUUCACAAAGCAGUUACAAGUUAGUAAAACCAACUUGUUGAACUACCUUUGACAUUGAGCAAGUCCUCUCAGUACCAUCGGUAAGACAAGGGUUGAGAGUUCACUUUAAUUAACAAGAGAUCAUGCACUUGGGUAGAAAUCCAUUUGGUCAGGUUGUUCAUCCGUUUCUUCAUGCGAGAUGAAUUAUCAACUUGGUUAAGGAAUAUAGGGAUUAAUAAGAGAGUGAAUGAAAAAACUCCUGCAUCUCAGCAGCAGGGAAAAUCAAUCUGCAUUUUGAGAGCUAAUUAGCUGCUUUCCAACACUAAAAAGCUCCAAGGCUUCACCUUUACACAAAGGAUGCAAAGGGAACGUGUAUGUGUGAAGUCACCAUCAAAGUCAAGGAAAAGAGACCACACAUGAAAGGGGUAUGCCCUUUUGAUCCAACAGAGAUGAUAGAUGUUGCUUGAUCACAUGACAAACAACAUAGAAAUCUUUUCAAGGAAGAUAUCCACGGAAGAUAACACACAAGUGUAAUUCUAUAACAAUCAUGACUAGAGACUUCGAUAUCGGUAUGCGCCAAGCAGCAGAACCUUGCGUGUACAUUCACAAGGGGCUCUCAGUUUCGCCGCGGUACCAUAAGUCCUUAACCAUGACACCAUUACAAAACUGGCACCAAUAAUGAAUCUCACGUGGUAAGAACAAUUUGUGCAGAGAUAACAUAUCGAUGUAGUCUCAUAAUGGAUUAUGACUACUAACGGUGAUACCAGCGCGUGCCAAGUAGCGCAACCAUGUGCUGAUCACCCACAGGAGGCUCUGGGUUUCAUCGCGGUGCCAUCGAUUUUAGUCAUAACACCAUUACCAGAUGUAAUCAAUAAGAAAUCUCGCGCCACACCAUUAGAGUAAGCAAGGGUGACAAUAUACAAAGAGAUACCCCACCUAUAAGAAUGGUUACAAGUAGAGAGCCAAAUAGAUCAUGGCCCGAUGAAAUGAACACGAUAUAGCCAAAACCUAAACUUGAUGAAAGGAGUAUGAUGGGAGACUGUUACUUCAGUCCAAGCAUAUUUCUAUGCCCAUCGCAGAGAUUACAAGGUCAGGGAUUAGUAUCUGACUAGAUACGGAGGGAAAAUAAUCAUAAGAUUAAGUUGAUAUGCCUUUGAUAGAUAUGAGGAAACCAAAGGCAUCAAAUUCAAGAAAAAGAUUGGGCAGUCCUUUCCUAAGUUAGGUUGAUAAAAUAACGACAUGAUCCUUAAGAAGAGGCAAAACUGGAUAAGGGACAUCAGCUUGCAUCAACCAAACAAGGACACGGUUUUGGAAGGAGAUAUAACUCAAGAUUCUCGUUUUAAGCCCGGGUACACUUUAUGUCUAACAAGGAAAUUAUCUAAGCAUUUAUUUUUAUGUGUUUGGUCAUGGAGUGAUAACGGAAAAAACAGCUUUGGGUCAUGGUUCACUAAAUAAGAACAUGGCCUAAUUUUGGGUUUAAGCAAACAAACUACUAACCUUCUAUCAGUACAUCAAGCACCAGAGCAAACACAUAUAUAACACCUAAAUAGGUUACCUAAAGAAUGGAGGAUAGCUAUUUCAUUGAAGUUUAUAAUACAACAUUACACCAUAUUAGGUAAAAUCACUGGUUACUGGAAUAAAGAUGAGAGAAGCAUUUUGGAUAUAUAGGUGACAAACACGAUGCAACAAUCAGGAUGCAUGCUCGUCUUAUGCGUCCUCACUGAUUUUGCCAACAUAAUGUGGCAAUAACGUUCUAUAUCAGUGGCAUACUUACGACUCUCGAUAUUUUACUAGUCGUCAGCUACACAUACGUUUUCGAGGUUAGUAUACCUGCAGAAAAUUCCAUCACAGCCCAUUUUUCCCAUGAUGCAGUUCACACAUGACAGUUUAUCACAGUUUAUACUCCAUAUAUUGCUAUAUUGAGGCUAGCUCAUCAUUAAGCGUCGAGCCACGCAUAGGCGCUGUUGCCACACUUUAACCAUAGGGCAACCCAUUAUGGUAACUCACCUUCUUACCUGAGCGUAGGUGCGUCGUUACAAGUACAUUACACUUCUCAGUAUUCCCAUGUCUAUAUACCCGUACAUAUCAUGGGGUACUGAAUUACAUUCCCAAAAAAAGUAUUUACUCCACAUCGCAGCCUUCAUAUAUACAUAUGUGGAACAUGUAUAUAAUCAAGCGCCACAAUUAAGCACUUCCCUAGACCGACGUUUGUUCGGUCAUGCUCUCACAUCUCACCUUACCUGAGCGUCGAUCCAUUCAGAACUGAAUGGCCUCAAAAAUAACAAUACACAUGUAUGCAAUACCACCCGAUUGUGGGUUAUGGUUUUUAAAUAAGCCACCCGAUAGUCCUUAGUUUAGGGCUUAAAAGAGGAUGUCGCUAGCAUUAUAGUUUUUUCAAAACUGUUUUUCAAAACCAAACAACGUGUUUAGUUGAAAAUAGGUUUUCUAAAACCAAAACUUUGUUUUUAAAAUACGUAUGUGACCGUAUAAACUUAAUCCUGCUCCGAUACCAGCUGUGGCAGAACCUCCCAAGUUAUUAGGCCCACAUGCACCUGUCCUUGUCUCAAAGACCUCAGACGGCUAUGCAUGUGCACCAGAUAACUUAACAGGAUCUGUCCGAGUGUCCCAAGGACCCCAGAUAAACCACUUACAACCAGGAUCGCAAGAUUAAGUAACACAAAUCACACACACCAACAUUUUGCAGCGGAAAUCUUAUUACCAAAUUUUACAAGUUACAUCAAGUUUUACAAUGUAAAUGAUCGGAGUGAUUACAAAAAGUGAUUCAAAGAAGUAACUUUGAACUGUUAUAAAUUAUUUGUAGUUUUGAAAUAUAUGCUAGCUUAAGUGACCAUCCUCAAUAAGAAGUAUAGAAGAGUUACUUAGACUUAUAAGAAGGUCGAGCCCACCGGCACUUAACACCAUCAUCAACAACACAAAACUAUAACCUGAAAAACAACAGGGAAUAAAACCCUGAGUACGGAAUUACUCAGCAAGACUUAACCGACUAAAGAAAAGACUCUCAAGGAUAUGCUGGAUUUAGGAAUCAAGGAGAGGCUCUUAGCAAGAAUCAACUUAGAUACUUUUGCAGAAAUAGCUUACUAAAGUGAGUCCUUACUUUCAAUAUUUUAACGCCAGAUUAAAUAUUAAUAGACUCUGGUUGCAUCUAGUCUAAUUUUACCAUCUCAUCAAUACAACAUCAUUUUUAUUCAUAAGGUUUACAUCCUGACUUAGGUCGCAGGGCAGCGAUCAAGUCUCCACUCUCCGGGGAUAUAACGGCGAUCCGAAUCGAUUUACUCAGCUGAGGAUCUCUAACCACACGACAUAUGUAGCACUUAACCCUUGCAUAUGUCAACCGUUCCCACAGAUCCUCCACAACGUGAACCGGUCC
rnacentral:lncRNA from 1 species